rnacentral:rRNA from 1 species
UGGGGAAUAUUGCGCAAUGGGCGAAAGCCUGACGCAGCGACGCCGCGUGAGGGAUGAAGGUCUUCGGAUCGUAAACCUCUGUCAGCAGGGAAGAACGGUCACUGUGCUAAUCAGCAGUGAAUUGACGGUACCUGCAAAGGAAG